rnacentral:sRNA from 1 species
UGCAUGCAUGCAGAUGCAUGCAUGCAGAUGCAUGCAUGCAUGCAACUGCAUGCAUGCAUGAGCAUGCAACUGCAUGCAUGCAUGCAUGAGCAUGCAUGCAUGAGCAUGUAUGCAUGCAUGCAACUGCAUGCAUGCAUGCAUGAGCAUGCA